GAUUUGUGCUCGGUAUGACCCGAGGUAGUUCGCGGUGGUUCCGGGUGAUUGAGGUGAGCGAGGAAGAGGACGAGGAUGACGAGGACUUGUACACUUUCUGUGCCCCACCUAGUGA
rnacentral:lncRNA from 1 species